AGUGAACGCUGGCGGUAGGCCUAACACAUGCAAGUCGAACGGCAGCACAGUAAGAGCUUGCUCUUACGGGUGGCGAGUGGCGGACGGGUGAGGAAUACAUCGGGAUCUACUUUUUCGUGGGGGAUAACGUAGGGAAACUUACGCUAAUACCGCAUACGACCUACGGGUGAAAGCAGGGGAUCUUCGGACCUUGCGCGAUUGAAUGAGCCGAUGUCGGUUUAGCUAGUUGGCGGGGUAAAGGCCCACCAAGGCGACGAUCCGUAGCUGGUCUGAGAGGCUGAUCAGCCACCCUGGAACUGAGACACGGUCCAGACUCCUACGGGAGGCAGCAGUGGGGAAUAUUAGGCAAUGGGCGCGAGCCUGAUACAGCCAUACCGCGUGGGUGAAGACGGCCUUCGGGUUGUAAAGCCCUUUUGUUGGGAAAGAAAAGCAGCAGGUUAAUACCCCGCUGUUCUGACGGUACCCAAAGAAUAAGCACCGGCUAACUUCGUG
rnacentral:rRNA from 1 species